GAUGAACGCUAGCGACAGGCUUAACACAUGCAAGUCGAGGGGCAGCAUAAAAGUAGCAAUACUUUGGUGGCGACCGGCGCACGGGUGAGUAACGCGUAUGCAACCUACCUAUCAGAGGGGAAUAACCCGGCGAAAGUCGGACUAAUACCGCAUAAAACAGGGGCACCGCAUGGUGAUAUAUGUUAAAGCAAUUCGCUGAUAGAUGGGCAUGCGUUCCAUUAGGUAGUUGGUGAAGUAACGGCUCACCAAGCCGACGAUGGAUAGGGGAACUGAGAGGUUGGUCCCCCACACUGGGACUGAGACACGGACCAGACUCCUACGGGAGGCAGCAGUGAGGAAUAUUGGUCAAUGGGCGGGAGCCUGAACCAGCCAAGGCGCGUGAAGGGAGAAGGAUCUAUGGUUCGUAAACUUCUUUUGCAGGGGAAGAAAGUGCAGGACGUGUCCUGUUUUGUAUGUACCCUGAGAAUAAGGAUCGGCUAACUCCGUGCCAGCCGCCGCAGUAAAAC
rnacentral:rRNA from 1 species